GCCAAAUCAUGUUAUUUGUGCCCAGUUAAAAUUUCUGUUAUAUUAUAGUGUUACUACUAAGUCGUAGAAUUUCUGUUAUGUUAUAGUAUAUCUGCUGAUUACAGUAUAUGUGCCAAAUCAUAGUAUUUAUAGCAAAUCAUAGUAUUACUGCCCAAACAUAGUAUUUCUGCCAAAUUGUAGUAUUUGUGCAAAAACAUAGAAUUUCUGCAAAAUCAUAGUAUAUCUGUUAUGUUAUAGUAUUACUACUAAGGCAUAGUAUUCCUACCAAAUCAUAGUAUUCCAAAUCAUAGUAUUACUGCAAUUUCAUAGUAUUUGAGCGAAAUUGUAGUAUUUGUGCAAAAACAUACUAUGUCUGCAAAAUCACAUUAUAUCUGCUAUGUUAUAGUAUUACUACUAAGGCAUAGUAUUUCUACCAAAUCAUAGUAUUCCUUCAAAAUCAUAGUAUCACUGCAAUUUCAUAGUAUUUGAGCGAAAUUGUAGUAUUUGUACUAAAUCAUGGUACUUGUGCCAAAUCAUAGUAUUUAUAGCAAAUCAUAGUAUUUGUGCUAAAACAUAGUAUUUCUGCCACAUUAUAGUAUUUGUGUAAAACCAGAAUGUCUGCAAAAUCAUCAUAUAUCUGUUAUGUUAUAGUAUUACUACUAAGGCAUAGUAUUUCUGGAAAAUCAUAGUAUUUCAACUAAAUAAUAGUAUUUCUCCCAAAUCAUAGUAUUUGUUUCAAAUCAUAGCAUCUGAACCAAAUCAUAUUAUUUGUGCCAAAAAUUGUAUUUGUACAAAGUCAUAACAUCUUUUCUAAAUCAUAGUAUUUCAAUCAAAUCUCAGUAGUUGUGCUAAAACGCAGUAUUAUUGCCAAGUCAUACUAUUUCUGCCAAAUCAUAGUAUUUGUACUAAAUCAUAGUACUUGUGCCAAAUCAUAGUAUUUAUAGCAAAUCAUAGUAUUUGUGCCCAAACACAGUAUUUCUUGCCAAAUUGUAGUAUUUCUACAAAAACAUACUAUGUCUGCAAAAUCACAGUAUAUCUGUUAUAUUAUAGUAUUACUACUAAGGCAUGGCAUU
rnacentral:lncRNA from 1 species